GUUUGGGAGUGGAGAAAAAGGCUGGUUAAGUGUUCGGAAGUGGAGACUAAGGAUGAGACAGACUGGUAAUUGAUUCUGAGAGAAAUUUCUCCAAGGACUCCUGCAGCUCUCCUUUGAACAUAUGAAGAGGGAACAUUCUUUCAGUCCCAGAAGCUGCUGAAGCAGAGUUGGAGAACCCCAGACUGAAGGGCUUUGAUUUCACCCUGUACAUCCAAGGGCACAAGGAUCAUAUGAACGAUUUGUGUCUUGAGUUUCCCACAUAGCUGAGACUGCAGAGAGCUCUGGAUAUCUCCCGGAAAGAAAAUAGAUGUGGCCUGCUAUUCUGUGACUCAGUUUAAUUUGCUGGAAUUGUAGAAGGAUCACCAAGGAAAGAAAUGAAAAUAAAUGGUUCUGAAGUGCUGAUAUUUCA
rnacentral:lncRNA from 13 species